CUAUCCAUAAGAAAUCCCCAAGCUACCUGACAGACCUUGAAAAGAAUUUCAUGAAGCCAACAAGCAAAGUUGGUAAAGAAUCACACAAAAACACUUGGGACUGUAAAUGCUGCCAAAGUGCAGCAGGCAGUUUGGACCAACACAGGGUCAGGAGAGAUGACAGGCUGGGUCCCCACCAACAGCACUGCCAACAAGCAGAGACAGUCACCUGGAGCAACAGGGGGACAGGAACGCCUCUCCAGACUGGCCUUGCUGAUGUUCUGGACAAGUAAGUGAGCCUUAGACUGCUUAAUUGGAACAUUAACACAGAGAUCAAUUAAAUUUAUGAAUAGCUGAAUAUACAGUAUAUAAUGUGAAUAAUUAGGGUAAUUAAUUUUCAGAACGUUCUGUAAAUUACAAGAGAAAAACAUACACCCUAUUAGCACAAGAGGAGUGCAAGUUCCAAAUAUUUAAUUAUAACCUUAUGAAUUUACAUAUACUAUAAGAAGCUGUGUCUCUGCUCUGAACCAUUGUAUAUAUAUGAAAUAAGAGGUAAGGAAUAGAAUAUAUAUACUCUGCAAAAGCUUUUAAAACCAUGUUUAUUUGUUGGAAGGUUUGCAAUCAAAGUAUGUUUAAAGAAAUACUGGUUAGAUAUUAUGUUGAAUUAUUCAUUUAACAUACUUGCAUAUAUUGUGGUCCUCUAUGACUGCUUUCCUCUAUGAACUACUUUGAGGACAUUUUAAUUUCCACCGUGACCGAGAAGUCAAGCAAUUGCAUGCUUUUUCCACAAAGAGAACAUUAUCUGUACAAAAUAAACAUACACAAAGAAUACUGGAUGCUUAUCAACUCCAGCAAUUCCAUGUGUUAUAAUAUCUUUUUCAUGAAGGAGCUGCUGGACCAUAACAUGUCUGCUCUUACUCAAAACAGUAAUUUGACAAACCAUUGUUUCCAUUUUCAUGAUUAUGUUAAAUGUUUCCAGUCAUCAAGUUUACCUGGUGGAAAAAUCCUCCCCCCCAAAAAAUCAAACCUGUCUAAUAAGAAUUUAAGUGCCAGAAAAUUCUGUGAUACAUUUUACAUGUUAUUUCUUCUUAACACAAUGACAGAACAGAUGUAUAAAUAUUUAUCAGUAUUGCUGUCAAAAUACAGUUUACUUUUAUCAACCUAAAAGUUUUGCUUGGAGCCAUCUUGGAAAUAUGAGUGCCCCCAUAGGAAACAGAUGGAAAGUACUAGGGACAGAAA